rnacentral:lncRNA from 1 species
CAGCAAGAGCACAAGAGAGCUGGGCUUCCAGCUGCUCUGCCAUUGGCCCUGCUUGGGCCUCAGCUUCUCCAUAUGCUCAGUGCGUGCUUGGAGGAUGGAAGUGUUUUGGGGCCUCUGGAAUCCGCUGUCUUGUGAUGCCUGCAAUGCUGAGACCUGGGGUCGGGGGAGCAGAAUGAAAGCGGAGCCCAGGAGGGCAGAUGGCUGCUUCCAGACUCUGCCGGUUGUCGAGUGCCCUGGAAACCCGCUCACCCUGCAGGAGUUACUCAGUGUCCUGUGUGCAUCCAGACCUUGGUGUGUGGUAUCGAGCCUGUCUCCUGUCUGAGUCUGUGACUUCUCAGGCGCACAUGUCGUGGCCUAUUCAUUUUCUUAUCCUCGUUGCCCAGCGCCGCGCCUGUCACACGGUGGGUGCUCCGUAGAGUGGGCUGGAGGAUAGAAGCAAUCAAUCCCCAAUACCGUGGACGUGCUUGGUGGCAGGAGAUGCUUUGCUUCGAUGAAAUGCUCCGCCUCCAGGACAGGAGAAGACCUUGGUUUUGACCCUGAGGAAACAGCAAAACUUGGACCUUGAAGACAGGAGAUUGCCAUGACUAAUUUGGGGGCAGGCGGUGUGACUUUGAGUAUGUUACCUAACCUUGCUGAGCCACGUGGUACUGGUGAGGAUUCGGUGAGAUGACAACUGGUCACAGCAUGGCAGGCCUCCUGGCAUGUCCCUGACUCUCCUUCAACAGGAGCUUUCGAUAUAUUAGGGAGCAGGCUGUUGUGCCCCUUGGUGAGAUCACUUCGGGAUGUAGAGCCUUGUGAGCGCAGGCCUCCCAGAAGUCCAUCUUCCUCACCAACAAAUGACCCGGUUCCGGAGAAAGAUCUCGCCUUUGGUUGCAAGGGUCGGAUGGCAGUGGCAAUGAACCGGCUCGAUGUUUCACUGUCUUCACUGUCUGCCUCCCUCCCUGGACUGUGAGUCCUCCAAGGGCUGUUAGUGUGUUUGUGCACUCACAGUUGAACCCCAGAACCCAGGCAGGCCUGGCCCGUGGUGGGUCUCCUAUGGAGAGAAGCAUUGACUGGGGACACUUACUGGGUUGUGUUUGCUGGUGGCUGGGCUGGAAGGUCCACAAAGGCUCACUUCAUGUGAGUGGCACCUCAGAGCUCUUCCACAGGCCCUUCUCUCCAUGCAGCUCUCUUGGGCUUCCUCACAGCAUGGUGAGUUUUUUCACGGUGACUGGCUUCCAAGGGGAAGGACUUCAAGCUGGGUGAGAGAAGAUGCCUCAAAUCUCUGCAGCCUCAGCCUGGGAACUCACACAGCGUCGCUUCUGCUACAUCCUGUUGAUGAAAGCCAGUCCUGGAAUCAGCCCAGAUCCAAGGGGAGGAGAAAAAUACUCCAUGUCUUUCUGGGAGGAAUGACUAAGAAUCCGCAGCCGCCUCCAAUCCACCAUGCCCACGCAAGAGACAGGAGUGAUAAUUGCAACCAAGAUGGUGCAUGGUAGCAGAUUGGUCACUGUUUCCAGUUAUUCACUGUCCUCCCAGUGAGAGGACUAUUCAUCCUGCCCCAUUGCUACACGACGUGCAGGGCCUCCAGUGCUGGGUACACCUCCCCUCCCCACCAAAUCAGGUUUGGCCAUGUGACUUGCUUUAGCCAGUGAAUCCGGAGCCCAAGUCCUAGCAGGCCAUUCAAAAGAGAAGCUUCAAGAGCCAUCACGUGGGUUGGCCAGCCUGCUUUUCCCUUUGAACAGAGCUGUGUUUUCUAGAGAGAGACCUUAGGUAAGCCUCCCUGUUCCACAGAAUACAAAUCCAAUUGGUAAGACUUCUAUCCAUCUUAAG